rnacentral:lncRNA from 1 species
AUAUGUGGAUUUAUAUAAUAUAAAACAGUUUACAUAAAUACUAUUUUGUGUAAUUUUAAGUUAUUUAUUUAAAAAUUUUUCUUAAAAAGUAUAUUUUCUCAUUAUAUGAUCUCCCAAUAGAAUUUUUUGCUGAUGUUCUUGUUAUUAUUUUGCUAUUCGUGUAUUCAGGAUUUUUCAUAUGUUAGCAUUGUAUACUACCACAUUGCCUGCUCUGCCAUUGUCUCCUUAACCCUUGUUCUUUUAAUAGACAUCUAGACUUGGUUCAGUUUUUCAUUCAGUCAGUUUGCAAUGCAAGGGACACCUUUAGAAAUAUUUCCUGUAAUAUUUUAAAAUCUAAACUAGAGGAUGUAGAAGCUGAGAUUCAUCAUUUAUUUUUAUCUUGUAGGAAAUAAAUUAGCUUAAUUGUCUUCACUGUGCCAGGCAAGAUUAAUCCUAAGAAAAUGAGGAAAGGGGAGGAAGUCAGAAGAAGGGGCUACUUGUUCCCACCUCUUUCAUAUCCGUAGAAUCAAUAUCUGUGUAGGAAACCACAGCAUGUCCAAAUUUUUUCAAUAACUUUCCUUCUUCCCUUUCUGUUUCAGAAAAUGCCUGAGAACAUUAUGUCUUUCAGAAACAUAUGCCAAUUAUCCACUAUUGAUUACCUACAUCAUACCAAUAAAAUAUUCAGCAUGCGA